rnacentral:lncRNA from 1 species
GUUAGUGAAAUGAAGAGUUGCUACAGGGCAGAAAGCAAAUAAUAAGAGCUCUGUAAACCAAUUUGGUUACUUACUUUCCCUCCAACUCAGGUGCCAUUCACUUAAGCAUUCUUGUGAAGGAACAGCUAUCGGCUAAGUCGUACCAGGGAAAUGCCAAUACAAAAAUAUCAGUAUGUACCUUAAGUAUUGAAUGGAUGUCAAAUACUGGGCAUGAAGAUUGCUAAGCAAAUCUAAGGAACAACUCUCCAAAGGCCACAGAUAGAGGAUUUCACUCUGUCAUUCAGGCUGGAGUACAUGGCUCACUGCAGGCUCGAACUCCUGGGCUCAAGCCAUCCUUCUGCCUCAGCCUCCGGAGUAGCUGGGACUACACGGUCACAUCAGUAUGCCUGGCUAUUUUUUUUUUUUUUUUUUUGAGGCAGAGUCUUGCUAUGUUGCCUAAGCUGAUCUCAAACUCCUGGCCUCGAGUAAUCUUCCUCCUCUACAGCCUCCCGAAGUGCUAAGAUUAGAGGUGAGAGUGACCAUGCCAAACGAAGGGACUGCUCUUUUAACAAUAUUGUAUGAUUUAAUUUAGCCAGCAAGCUUUGAUUAAUAUUGAUGCCCAAAGCUGGGUAGAUCUGUAUAUUCUCUGUAAACAUGCAGAAUAAACAUCUUUUGUCAAUGGUGAGAAAGGAGAGAUGAGCUUCAGAAGAAAAAUUAGACACUAGCUGUGAGUUAUUUUUAGCCUAGCACUUUCAUUUCUUAUAAAAAUAUUCAAAAUAUAG